UACGUAGGGUGCGAGCGUUGUCCGGAAUUAUUGGGCGUAAAGAGCUUGUAGGCGGUUUGUCGCGUCUGCCGUGAAAGCCCAGGGCUUAACCCUGGGUCUGCGGUGGGUACGGGCAGACUAGAGUGUGGUAGGGGAGACUGGAAUUCCUGGUGUAGCGGUGAAAUGCGCAGAUAUCAGGAAGAACACCCGUGGCGAAGGCGGCUCUCUGGAACGCAACUGACGCUGAGACGCGAAAGCGUGGGGAGCAAACAGG
rnacentral:rRNA from 1 species